rnacentral:rRNA from 1 species
GAUGAACGCUGGCGGCGUGCCUAAUACAUGCAAGUCGAGCGAAUGGAUUAAGAGCUUGCUCUUAUGAAGUUAGCGGCGGACGGGUGAGUAACACGUGGGUAACCUGCCCAUAAGACUGGGAUAACUCCGGGAAACCGGGGCUAAUACCGGAUAACAUUUUGAACCGCAUGGUUCGAAAUUGAAAGGCGGCUUCGGCUGUCACUUAUGGAUGGACCCGCGUCGCAUUAGCUAGUUGGUGAGGUAACGGCUCACCUAGGCAACGAUGCGUAGCCGACCUGAGAGGGGGAUCGGCCACACUGGGACUGAGACACGGCCCAGACUCCUACGGGAGGCAGCAGUAGGGAAUCUUCCGCAAUGGACGAAAGUCUGACGGAGCAACGCCGCGUGAGUGAUGAAGGCUUUCGGGUCGUAAAACUCUGUUGUUAGGGAAGAACAAGUGCUAGUUGAAUAAGCUGACACCUUGACGGUACCUAACCAGAAAGCCACGGCUAACUACGUGCCAGCAGCCGCAGUAA